rnacentral:misc_RNA from 1 species
GAUGAAGAACGUAGCGAAAUGCGAUAAGUAGUGUGAAUUGCAGAAUUCAGUGAAUCAUCGAAUCUUUGAACGCACAUUGCGCCCGCCAGUAUUCUGGCGGGCAUGCCUGUUCGAGCGUCAUUUCAACCAUCAAGCCCCAGGCUUGUGUUGGGGACCUGCGGCUGCCGCAGGCCCUGAAAACCAGUGGCGGGCUCGCUGUCACACCGGGCGUAGUAGAUUUUAUCUCGCUCUGGGCGUGCUGCGGGUUCCGGCCGUUAAAAAACCCUUUUAACCCAAGGUUGACCUCGGAUCAGGUAGGAAUACCCGCUGAACUUAAGCAUAUCAAUAAGCGGAGGA